GAUAAAGACUCUUGGAUGUCUGGCCCUAUAUUGAAGGUCAGGUCCAAAGGUUUCUCCAGAUAAAUAAGGUACAGCACAAAGAUCAACGAAAACAUGUGUUGACCGUGUAGAAAUAAAUCACAGCCUUUUAUUAGCGUCAGAAAUGGGGUGUACAGAAAUUCGCUGGAUAGUCAUUUAGGAACAUUAAGAUAUGUUCAUGCAUUAAAAUAGUGGCAUCAGAGAAAGAAGAUUGAUUCAAAAUAAUGUGGGGAAACAGUGAACAACAUGAUCCUUAACCAGUCAUUUACACAAUAAAUAAACAGGAGAUUAGACAGGAUGUUAGAGUGAUAUCCAUCUGUUCAGCUCACUUUCAGAAAUGCUGUUUUCUAAAACAUUGAGCUCCAAACUUUAAAAUGAGAUAUUCUCAAGAUGAGCCCAAAGUCUUGCUUAUUAUGUUUAAAAAAACAUUCUUAGGUGGAAAUGUCUUUCCUUCAUCCACAUGAGAACUCUAAAGCCAGUUUACAGCAUUUGAGUUUUUCGAUCUGCUUUGUUCUCAGUGAAGCCAUGAUGAAGCCACAGUAGGGGGUGAAGAAGGUGGAGGAGACCAAAACAGCUCUAAGAGGGCUAUUGUGUUUUCAAUUUCUUUCUUUGCCCAAAAGCUUCAGUGUUCAAUAAAGGAGAUAAUCCGAAGACAAACAUUAGUAGUCCCUGUUCACUGGGCCUCAUUAACACAGUGACACAGUUUUAGUAGCUGCUGCACUCUUUUCAUUUACACUCAAUCAACUGUAUUGAUCUGAGGACAUACAUAUACACAUAGGGAUAAAAAGAAGGAGAAGGAGAAGAAAGAGAGCCGGAGAAACUCAAUCCAUCCGUCGCCUUUGAGAGCUAGUGACCAGUGUGUGUGCAUGUGUGUGUCAACGGAAGGGAAACUUAUAUCCGCAAUUAAGGUAAAUAAUUAACAAGCUUAACAAUGUAUUAUUAAUGAGACUGACGGACUAAUUGCCCUCCGCUUAAAGCGGACAGACAACACCUGAAGAUGGAUAGAUACAGAGGGAGCAAGGACAGCGGUAAAGACAGGUGAGGAGAUCAGAGAUAACGAAUGAUGAAAGUGGGAUCAUAGAACAUUUUAUGACCAGUGGCUGACGGAUGGAAAAAGGAGGGAUAAAUUCAUGAAGAGAAGAUAAAUGAAAGUGAGGGACAGACAAAGACUUAUACAAACGAGUGGAGGCGAGGUGAAGUGAGGGGCUCAUGAAGACAACAAUAAAUCAAGACAGCAGGUAAGUAGAGGAGUCUGGAAGGUAGAAGAAAAAGAAAAUGCUCCAGCUUGUUACUCCUCCUAAAACCACAUAUCUAGCUGUGUGUGCUUCACAAACAUGAGCUGGGCCAACGCUCCAGUCUCUAUGGUCAGCUAGGCCAACCAGUUUUUUUUCCAGCUUAGUAUGUAAGAUAGUAGCUUUACUUUACAUGUAUUGAAUUACUCUCAAAUGUUAUAUCAAUGUCUUUUGUAUUACAGGAUGUAGUUCCUUCUCUAUUAUACAAUGAAACAAACCAAACUCUGUAUUUCUUUAACAAACUCUGGAAUCUAAAGAAUUUAUGAAUGGCGAAAGGCUUUCCUUUCUUUCCCUUCUCAAUUUAGCGUCUAUCAAGUGUCUCAGACGGAGGCCUGUGGAGAGCAAGGUGUGUGUGCAGGAGCCAGCACUGGGCCUCUAAGCAUCAGCGCUUCACUAUCGGGAUUUGAGAUUGGAUGAACUGCUCUACCAGCCGGACACUGGGAGUUGUGGUCAGAGGGAGUUGUGGGAGGAAGAGGCAGAGCAAAGAGAUGAAGAUCAGCGUCAUGUCUGGAUGGUCCUCCAACGCUUGCUGGAAAACAAGCUAUUUGUGAAGGCAGAGAAAUAUCAUGCCUGGCUCAUCUCCCCCCUCCCUCUGUCUUUCUCCUCUUCCUUAUUUAUCCAUCUGUCCCAUCCUGGCAAGGCCAUUAACUCAUAAAUCCAAUACGGGCCACCUCAACACUAUCUGUCUUCUGCCGAUGGUAUGGAGGGAGCAGAGAGGAGGAUCAAUGGCCGCCCUGACUGUCAGUCCACUCACUUGUUUUCACAUCCAUCUACCCAUCGCCUUCUUCACCCCAGCAACCCCCCCUCUCUUUGACUCUUGUUUUGUUCCGAAACCAAAGCGUCCUGACCGAGGGACAGAACGCUGACGCGGCUUCUCCAAACACACAAAAACACACAAAUUAGCAGAGGAGGCAGUGUUUAACCGACAGGACAAUGAGAUGGUGUCACUUCCUAUUGUCCCCCGACCCUUAGGUUGCCACUCGUCCCUUAAAAUACAGAACCGUCCCGUAUUUGAGAAGAAAAUGGCGCGUUCCAUUUUGAAUCAAUACGGGAUGGGGUUUGUCUCGUAUUUUCUGAGUUGUCUUCAAUGCAGCAUCCCAUGUGUGAGUGAGUUUGUGCGCAUAUGGAUGUCAGUGUUUCAAAUAUCUGGCAAGUGAAGGGGAGCGAUUGGUUUGUGAGGUGCAAAGAAAUAUUGUUAUACACACAGAGAGGAUGGCCGCUGGCCUGCGGCUUUGGCAAACACACACACAGACACACACACUCACACACAGAGUGUGGUUAGAGUGUUGCAGCCCUCAGUGAACCGCACUGGCCUCUGGUGAGCCACAGAAUCCAUGAGGUGUAGAGUGACAAGCUGUCUCUCUCUCUCUCUCUCUCUCACGCGCACACAUACCCAUAGUGUCUCUCAUAAAGUCACACAUGCGCACACACACAAAUGCAGGUUGACUUCUACUUUGUUACCUUUCCAGAUGUGAUGUGAUGUGUGGUGUACCAGCUCCCUCAACAAAAUUCUUCCAUUUGAUUUUGAGUUGUUGCUCAAAAUAAGCUCUAUGUUGAACAGACAAUGAUGGAACUUGCAUAUUAAUAUUCAUACGCACUGGUCAAAACUAAUUUCCUGAGGUCAAAGGUCACUUUGAUCAAGUUUUUUGCGACAACCUAAUAAUUGCUAUGUCAUGACAUUUUCACACAAAUGUUGCAUCAAAAGAAAUACUAAACAAUAAUGAAGAGGAGGUGAUGAUGUUUUGAACACACACACUCACGUAAACACACAAAAACAAUAUGACACUACAUAUGAAACCAUCAUUUAAACUUUCGCACUCACAAAAAUGUAUAUCAAACACACCCAUGCCAUUUCAAAAGCAGCUAGAUCUGAUUCUCUCUCUCCGUCUGUCACUCACUCACAAUCAUACACACACACACACACACACAGUCAGGUCGUGCCCUUCUCGAGUUUCCUUUGACACAUGGUAAUAGAUUCCGCUGUAGCUCUACGCCUCGGCUAAGUGGCCUCACCUUUCACUGAAAACAAAUCAUUCUCUUUCUCUGCCGCUCACACACACAAAUACACUCACAGACACCUACACACACAUGCACACACACACCUCCAGCUCUCUCUUCCCACAAACUCUUCAUCUCCCUCCAUUUUCUCUUUCCCCCUUUUCAUCCUCGUCUCUGACCUUCCUCCUCUCACUCCCAUGGGUGCUCUCCUCUUCCUCUCCGUCACUCACUAUCCUCUUGUUUCUAGCCUAACUCUCCUUUUCUAAAUUCAUCUUUUUACCCCCCCCCUGCCCCUUUUCUGGGUCAGAUUAUUAGUAUGUGUCGUUUGGUCUAUUGCUAAAACUUAUGUAGACUGUUCAUAAUGUUUUAGUUGUUAGUACUGUAUCAGUAUUUGUUACAAUUGUUGUAUUGAAUCUAAUUGUAGUGUGUGUAUGUAUGUGUG